rnacentral:rRNA from 1 species
UACGAAGGGGCUAGCGUUGCUCGGAAUUACUGGGCGUAAAGGGCGCGUAGGCGGCACUGUUAGUCAGGCGUGAAAUUCCUGGGCUCAACCUGGGGACUGCGCUUGAUACGGCAGAGCUAGAGGAUGGAAGAGGCUCGCGGAAUUCCCAGUGUAGAGGUGAAAUUCGUAGAUAUUGGGAAGAACACCGGUGGCGAAGGCGGCGAGCUGGUCCAUUACUGACGCUGAGGCGCGACAGCGUGGGGAGCAAACAGG